AGACACCAGAGCACCAACUUCUCUCACUUAAACCUUAUGACAACCUUAAGAAGUAGGCAGCAUGAUCCCCUUCUUGGAAAUGCAGAAAGAGAGAAUGGGGGAGAUUGAGAGGCUUGCAGAAUGUGACAUCAUUAGGGAGAACAGUGGUUGAGGUCCAGCAGCUCCUGCAGAUGGGUGGUGGUGGAAGGAGGAGAGAAUGGGCCACAGGCAGGCCAAGGGCAAGCUUAGCAGCACUCAACAUCCUCCAUGAACUCAACAGAAGUCAAGAAUGCAGGCAGCUCAUGAUGAAGACCUGCAGCGGCCCAGGUUUACCAAGCUCAUUCACAAUUGCAGUUGGAGAAUUCGUCUUUGGUCAUUUUCUACUUUGGAAAUACGGUACAACUGGUCAGGGAGAACCAAUGGCAGACAUGUGCUAUAUCCCAACACACCUUGACUCUUGCUCUCACCGGAAGCUCAGCUUAGGGAAAGGAGAUCUUAAUAGGAGACAGAAGACCCGGACGCUGGUUUUGAUUGUGCCCUUCUCCAGCUGUGUGGCCUUGAGCAGGAUAUUUUUUACAUAAAGCAUACUGCAUGGGUGUCCUACUGGUGAUGGAAAAAGAAAUGAAAGCAUCUCUCAAAAGGGUCAAACCAAGGCCAGGUUUUAUUUGGUGUUUGAGAAAACCUGGAUUAUUUGGGUCAGGAGAAAAUUUUGGACUUCCUGCUAAUCACAGGAUUUCAACAGCAAGCGUCUUCAAAUCAUGUGUGACAUCCCCUGGCUGAUAAGAGCCUUCCCACCUCAUCUCAAGGAAGGCAACACCUUUCAUAACUACUAGAAUGACUACACUUGCCUCACUAAAUUGUAGUUGUUGAACCACAAACUUGAUUCCUACUUCUGUAAAAAUAAAUCAGAAUUAAAAUGAUUAAGAUAUGGAAUUGAGCCUCCAUGAGGUUUCAGCAGGCAUCCAUAACCUACAGGGUUAUGACAGUCAUAUUUUCUGAAUCCCAAAUCAGGACAUGGGACCAUGGAAAUAGAGAAGACCAUCAAGCAGAACGUUUGACUUCAGUUCUGUCGUGAAGAUUCUGGGUUUUCAAUCCUUCUAACUACAGUACUAGAUGACAAAGAUGAUUUAUUGCACAUUAAGCACUCAUGAGUGCUCUAUUAACCUCAUUCCUUGGAAUGAUUGUUUUAAAACAACUUUCCAUUUUUGCUAUUAAAAUACCUACUACUUGGGAGACUGAGGCAGGAGAAUCACUUGAACCCGGGAGGUGGAGGCUGCAGUGAGCCGAGACUGCACCACUGCACUCCAGACUGGGCAACAGAGUGAGACUCUGUCUCAAAAAAAAAAAAAGUAAUGCAUAUUAAUUGAAGAAAAUAUAGACAUGGAAAGGAAAGAAAAUCAUCCAUCCAUAAUUUC
rnacentral:lncRNA from 1 species